CAAAGUGUAAAAAUACCCCUUUUUCCAAAAAUUAGAAGGUGUAAAAAUGUAUCUUUAUUUACGUAAGGGGCUG